AUGGUCUGGGUUCCAUUUGUGCUCGACGUUCCUGCUCAGUGCACAGGCUUUUGGGCUGAGGUUGUGUUCACUCAGCCCCAGUCUGUGUCAGGGUCUCCUGGUCAGACAAUAAACAUCUCCUGUUCCCUCAGCAGUGGCAGCAUCGACAACAACUAUGCAUCUUGGUACCAACAGCACACAGGAAGUUCCCCCAAGAUGCUCAUCUACAAAUAUAAUCAAAGACCCACUGGGGUUCCCAACUUGUUCUCCGGAUCCAAAGACAGCUCCUCCAACUCUGCCUCUCUUUCCAUCUCUAGGCUGCAACCUGAGGAUGAGGUUGAUUACCACUGUCUGUCUGGUUAUGACAACUAUUUUACCCAGAAUUCAAGACCUAUGAGGAAGUGA